AGGGUUUGAUCCUGGCUCAGAAUGAACGUUGGCGGCGUGGAUUAGGCAUGCAAGUCGCACGAGAAACCAAUUAGCUUGCUAAGAGGUGGACAGUGGCGAAAGGGAGAGUAACGCGUGGUUACAUGCCCUCGAGACCGGGAUAGUGUUGGGAAACUGGCAGUAAUACCGGAUAACAUCUUCGGAUCAAAUGGUGUGAUUCCGCUCGAGGAUUGGACCGCGUACUAUUAGCUUGUUGGUGAGGUAACGGCUCACCAAGGCUGCGAUGGUUACCGGGUGUGAGAGCAUGGCCCGGCUCACUGGGACUGAGACACUGCCCAGACAUCUACGGAUGGCUGCAGUGGAGAAUCUUCGGCAAUGGACGAAAGUCUGACCGAGCGACGCCGCGUGCGGGAUGAAGGCCCUCGGGUUGUAAACCGCUGUCAGUUAGGAGGAAAUCCAUAGGGGUUCUCCCUUAUGGUUGACCGAUUUUCAGAGGAAGGACGGGCUAAGUUCGUGCCAGCAGCCGCGGUAAGACGAACCGUCCAAACGUUAUUCGGUAUCACUGGGCUUAAAGCGUGCGUAGGCGGCUUGGUAGGUGAGAUGUGAAAGCCCACGGCUCAACCGUGGAAUUGCGUUUCAAACCCCCAAGCUCGAGGAAGAUAGGGGUGAUGGGAACUUAUGGUGGAGCGGUGAAAUGCGUUGAUAUCAUAGGGAACACCGGUGGCGAAAGCGCAUCACUGGAUCUUUUCUGACGCUGAGGCACGAAAGCUAGGGUAGCGAACGGGAUUAGAUACCCCGGUAGUCCUAGCCGUAAACGAUGAACACUGGGUUGAGGGGACUUCCACAUCCUCUCGGCCGUAGCGAAAGCGUUAAGUGUUCCGCCUGGGGAGUAUGGUCGCAAGGCUGAAACUCAAAGGAAUUGACGGGGGCUCACACAAGCGGUGGAGGAUGUGGCUUAAUUCGAGCCUACGCGAAGAACCUUAUCCUAGACUUGACAUGUUUGAGAAUCCCUUGGAAACAUGGGAGUGCCCUUCGGGGAGCUCUUGCACAGGUGCUGCAUGGCUGUCGUCAGCUCGUGUCGCGAGAUGUCGGGUUAAGUCCCUUAACGAGCGAAACCCUUAUCUCUAGUUGCCAGCGGGUAAUGCCGGGGACUCUAGAGAGACUGCCGGUGUCAAACCGGAGGAAGGUGGGGAUGACGUCAAGUCCUCAUGGCCUUUAUGUCUAGGGCUGCACACGUCCUACAAUGGCAC
rnacentral:rRNA from 1 species